UUUGAAAUCACAGGCGGCCCAAGCUCUAGCUGUGAGAUGAUCACCUUGCAAAAUAAGAGUCAUGGCGAAAUUAUGGGAGAAGCUUCUCCUAUGUACGUAAUAAACCUAGAAAUGGAUAACUCACUAAAACAGGUUCUUUUCAUCACAGCAAGCGGUUAAAAAACAAGCGAUGCACUGUUGAAAUAGGAGUUCAGGCAUUUAGGAGGUUUCCUGGAAAAACAGGACCAAAGAUCACUGGAUCAAGGAUCAAGGUCAAAACACGAAGCCGUUUUUGGCGACUGCCGGAGGGAACAGCAAAUUAUCAGCUGCUUUAACUUCAUCACUUCAAUUUUUUACUGACGUCAUAUCCUUAAAGGAAAAGCAGAUGGAAUGCAUCUGAAGAAUCACUUGCUAAGAAGAAGACGUUUUUAGUCGUUUUUCCGACAGUAUUUGACAAGAGACAUAAUUUGGAAAGUGAUAAAAUUGUAUCGCCCCACUGAGUUGUUGUUGUGAGUCCCCUGGAGUAUACAUGGACGACAGUCGCCAAAAUUGCACCGGAAGUCAGAGACGCAAUCUCAUACCGACACUCGGGAUAAUUUAGAAAUUUCAUGUGAAUAUAAUAUAUGCACAAGUAAAUCCGCUAUGUAGCUUUCAGUCUUCAA